GACAAUAACCUAAAACGCAAGGCCAAUUACUUGCCAAUAUGAAAUUGAAUGUUCAUGGUGGGCCUAGUUACAGUUUUGACUUAAAUCAUCUUGAACAUCUAUGGCAAGACUUGAAAAUUGCUGUCUAGCAAUGAUCAACAACCAACUUGACAGAGCUUGAAGAAUUUAAAAAAGAAUGGGCAAAUAUUGUACAAUCCAGGUUUGCAAAGCUCUUACAGACAUACUCAGAAAGACAGCUGUAGUGUAUUGACUCAAGGGGUUGAAUACUUAUCUAAUUAAAAUAUAUAUUCUUGUUUUAUUUUGCAUUAAUAAAAAUAAAACAUGUUAAGAGUUUUUCUUCCACUUUGACAUUACAGAGUAUUUUGCGUAGAUUGUUGAAACAAAUGACAAUAAAAUCUAUUUUAAUCCCACUUUGUAACACAACAAAAUGUGGAAAAAGUCAGGGGGUGUGAAUACUCUCUGUGGCUCAGUGGUAGAGCAUGGGGUUUGCAACGCCAGGGUUGUGGGUUCGUUUCCCACGGGGGGCCAGUACCAAAAAAAAGUGACAGAGCAACAACAAAAAAAAUGUAUGAAAUGUAUGCAUUCACUACUGUAAGUCGCUCUGGAUAAGAGCGUCUGCUAAAUGACUAAAAUGUAAAUGUAAGACACUGUAGGCCUAUUAGAGAGAGAUGAUAGGCUGGGUAUCUGGCCUAUUAGAGAGAGAUGAUAGGCGGGGUAUCUGGCCUAUUAGAGAGAGAUGAUAGGCUGGGUAUCUGGCCUAUUAGAGAGAGAUGAUAGGCUGGGUAUCUGGCCUAUUAGAGAGAGACGAUAGGCUGGGUAUCUGGCCUAUUAGAGAGAGAUGAUAGGCGGGGUAUCUGGCCUAUUAGAGAGAGAUGAUAGGCUGGGUAUCUGGCCUAUUAGAGAGAGAUGAUAGGCUGGGUAUCUGGCCUAUUAGAGAGAGAUGAUAGGCUGGGUAUCUGGCCUAUUAGAGAGAGAUGAUAGGCUGGGUAUCUGGCCUAUUAGAGAGAGACGAUAGGCUGGGUAUCUGGCCUAUUAGAGA
rnacentral:lncRNA from 1 species